CCGUACUCAAAUCACACUCGUGACGAACGUACAAAACGAAAAACCGCCGAGUCCAGCGACGCCUGUGCCUUCCUAACCGGGGGCCGGGCAGAGGGCUCGGCAACGAAACACGACCGUAGAGUUUGUGGCCUGAUGCGCAGUACGCACGAGGCCGGCGGAAGCCGCUCUUGGUCAGAAUGAUCAGAGAAUGUUAGCCGGAGAGUUAUUAGUUUUGGCCUGAUGCGCAGUACGCACGAGGCUGGCGAAAGCCGCUCUUUCGGUUAUCAGACUCGCAAAGUCCGCCGCGAGGCUUCGGCCUCCGCGGUGGACUUCAUUUUUAUGCGCUGCUGUAAGUGCUGUAAGCUCUUAUAUAUGCCUCGAGCUGAGCCCUGACGCGCAUACCCGAUCUGUGCUCACGCACUGUUUUGGGACGCACUGAGAGAUGGAUUCGUCCAGACGAAGCUUCGGUAACGGAAUAAAACACGCGUCUCCCUUGUGUGCCUUGGUAAAACAGAGGGCCGGGAGACGACAACGUGGUUGUUCUUAAAGCAUAUUUUGCGCCGUGGCGACUCAGUGUUGCUGCCGCCCCCUUUAACCGGGAGGGCGGUACCACCGUUCUACGGACUUGGCAAGUCUUGGUGGUUUAAUCGGGACGUUUGUUGUCUUCCAUUUUCAAUGGUCGGCUCUUCUGUCUCUCUAGGAAUGGAGCCUCAAAUUACUGGCUAGC
rnacentral:misc_RNA from 1 species